rnacentral:rRNA from 1 species
UACGUAUGUUCCAAGCGUUAUCCGGAUUUAUUGGGCGUAAAGCGAGCGCAGACGGUUAUUUAAGUCUGAAGUGAAAGCCCUCAGCUCAACUGAGGAAUGGCUUUGGAAACUGGAUGACUUGAGUGCAGUAGAGGAAAGUGGAACUCCAUGUGUAGCGGUGAAAUGCGUAGAUAUAUGGAAGAACACCAGUGGCGAAGGCGGCUUUCUGGACUGUAACUGACGUUGAGGCUCGAAAGUGUGGGUAGCAAACAGGAUUAGAUACC